ACAGUCGAAUCUUACCUAAUAGCUGUCUUGGCUGUUGUUUGUGGGCUGUUUUUAGCUGCAUUGGGCGCCAUAGCAGUGGUGGUAUUCAUUCUUCGAAAAAGGCAAAACAGAAAGAACACGUCAGAUAAGGUUACAGAACAAUCCGUACCGGACACUGGAUAUACGUCUAUUUCCCGUCGUCAAGAAGACACUUCCCAAGUCUAUGAAAUGGUGGUCACCUAAUACGCAAGACAAGUUGAUCAAACUAUAAAAGAUCGUUGAUUCGGACAGCUGUGUGCCCUUAAUAAAACACGAAAGGAAAUAAUAUUGCUACAAAUGCAUUUCAAAAAGGUAAAUCCAUGGACAUUCAGAAAAGGUGUUUACACUUUCAGCAUACGAGUAUUUGUAUUAUAUAUAUAAACGUAUUUCUAAAGUGGUGAUCCAAGUGAAUGUCGAGUUCAAUGUUUGUAUGCUCGUGUGUAUAUAUAUAUAUAU